GUCAGGCAAAGCGCUCAAAUGUAUGACGUUCGCGUCGCGUGUCUGGCAUCAAGGAAGAUGGACGCGUCGUCGCCACCCUAGAGGCGGCAUCCCCCGCGUGACGCCCUUUCAGGCACCGUCGUGACCGGAUUCCUUGUUUUGUCUUGCGUGUCGAUCACGCAGGUACGCGCGCCAGGCGCUGCCGAUCAGCUGUGCGCCGAGGUGUAGCGAUAGGACAGCAGCGAUUUCACCAGGAAGGUGAUCUGGGUGGCCGAGCGCGCAUCCACGCGCAUGACCGGGAUGCGGAAGCCUUCGGCAACCAAUGCAUCGCGGAAG
rnacentral:antisense_RNA from 1 species